UAGCAAUACCGAAGAAAAUUUAGUGGCGAACGGGUGCGUAACACGUGGGCAAUCUGCCUUAAAGUGGGGGAUAGCUCGGCGAAAGCCGGAUUAAUACCGCAUGUGAUUACUGGAGACAUCUUCGGAACAUCAAAGUCGGGGUAACCUGACGCUUUUUGAGGAGCCCGCGGCCUAUCAGCUAGUUGGUGAGGUAACGGCUCACCAAGGCUUUGACGGGUAGCUGGUCUGAGAGGACGACCAGUCACACUGGAACUGAGACACGGUCCAGACACCUACGGGUGGCAGCAGUCGAGAAUUUUUCUCAAUGGGGGAAACCCUGAAGGAGCGACGCCGCGUGGAGGAUGAAGGUCUUCGGGUUGUAAACUCCUGUCAUUUGGGAACAAUGCUUACGUAUUAACUGUACGUGAGUUGAUAGUACCAGAAGAGGAAGAGACGGCUAACUCUGUGCCAGCAGCCGCGGUAAUACAGAGGUCUCAAGCGUUGUUCGGAUUCAUUGGGCGUAAAGGGUGUGUAGGUGGCGCGCUAAGUCGGGUGUGAAAUUUCGGAGCUUAACUCCGAAACUGCAUUCGAUACUGCCGUGCUUGAGGACUGGAGAGGAGACUGGAAUUCUCGGUGUAGCA
rnacentral:rRNA from 1 species